CAAUACAUCGCUAGACGCGCCGCGGCGAUAGGGUGGUAGGUCCUGCUCCUCACGCCACAACGGUUGUGUCAGUGGGGGGAAAAGAAAAGGAGUGAGUUGGAAGUUCAGCACUACCUUCACAAUCAUACACAAAUAUUCAGUUUUAACACGCCAAGUGAUUGUCUCAAUAAAGUUCUUCCCUCUGUAAGACUCCAUUCGAAAAACCCGCCCCGCCCUGGUCCUAUCUUACAUGCCUUCGGUGUUCUCUGUAAAUAAAUGAAAUAAUACAAAAGUGGCGAGAAGGAUAGAGAGGGACGCGUUGUCCUGGGCAGUAUUCUAAUUAGGCGGUUACACUUGUUAAUGAUUGUCAU
rnacentral:misc_RNA from 1 species